ensembl:lncRNA
CCUGUACGUGCCUGCCUCAGCACAACCCAUCAGCUUCAGCCAAACUAUGAUCUGUUUUUUUUUUCCCUAGAAACGAAAAGAAGACUGAGAGAGGAUGACAAAUUGGCAUGAUUACAGCAAUAAUAUCAGCCAGAAGAUCACAAUGGCAGAACUCACUUACAAAAGUACUGUGUUUGAUUUGCCAGAGCUCUGAAGUGGGAAAGCAAUGGGGCGAUCCUGGCAUUCCAGGGCUCUGUCGCGUCGUCUCCUGGUCUCUAAUUUGGGAGCAGCUGUCGGGCUCUGCAAGACAUCAGCCAUCCAAGCCCAGCUAAAUUCCCUACAGAAAAGCCCUAACUCCCCAGCAUGCUUUCCAAUCUCAGCCUGUAUCAAUUCAGCUCCUUCCUUAUUGCCAUUGGACAAACAGAGGAAGAAGUAGUAAAUCCCAUAUCCCAACAAUAAGAUCAACCCUGGGGCUCAGGCAGGAAAAGAAGCUGUACCAGUGGGACUCAGGGCCCAAAGGGAUGUGGUGGUGGGGAACUGCUAAUCAAAGAUAAGGGGUCAUCUGUAUCCUUUCACAUAUUUGGUACUUUUUCCCCCAUUGUGUAGCUUUGUGUAUUUGCAGGUUCAGUAGUUGUUAGAUGUUAAAGGUCUUGUUUUCUGAGCUGUUAAUGCAGUACAUGCUGAUUGUGAUCUGUGACUGUUUUU